rnacentral:rRNA from 1 species
GACGUAGGGGGCGAGCGUUGUCCGGAUUUAUUGGGCGUAAAGAGCUCGUAGGCGGCUUGGCAAGUCGGGUGUGAAACCUCCAGGCUCAACCUGGAGACGCCACUCGAUACUGCUAUGGCUAGAGUCCGGUAGGGGACCACGGAAUUCCUGGUGUAGCGGUGAAAUGCGCAGAUAUCAGGAGGAACACCGGUGGCGAAGGCGGUGGUCUGGGCCGGCACUGACGCUGAGGAGCGAAAGCGUGGGUAGCAAACAGG